GACGAACGCUGGCGGCGUGCUUAACACAUGCCAGUCGAACGGUGAAGCGCCUUCCUUUUUGGUGGGUGUGGAUGAGUGGCGAACGGGUGAGUAACACGUGAGUCACCUGACCCCUUCUUCUGGAUAACCGCAUGAAAGUGUGGCUAAUACGGGAUAUUUUGGGUCUGUCGCAUGAUGGGUCUGGGAAAGAUUUUGUUUCGGUGGGGGAUGGGCUCGCGGCUUAUCAGCUUGUUGGUGGGGUGAUGGCCUACCAAGGCGGUGAGGGGUAGCCGGCCUGAGAGGGUGGGCGGCCACACAGCUGCUGAGAGACGGCGCAUACUCCUGCGGGAGGCAGCAGGGAAUAUUACUGCACAGGGGGCGCAAUGCUGAAGCAGCGACGCCUCGUGAAUGAUGGACGCCUGCGCGUUACAAACCUCUUUCGCCAGUGAAGCAGGCUGGCCGCAUUUAUGGAUGUGUUGACGGUAGCUAGAUAAAAAGCGCCGGCUAACUACGUG
rnacentral:rRNA from 1 species